rnacentral:lncRNA from 1 species
GACUCCAGCUUUUUUCUUUCGCUCAAUCAGAUCUUUUUCGUUGCGCAGCUGGUUGAGCACGGUUGGGAACCUUCUAUAGGUUGACUUUUUGCCAUUUUUUGUCCCUGGGUUUUUGAGGGACUUAUAGUUCUUCAGUGCGUGAGGGGUUGGCUGGUGGGCGGUGUCUUCGACUGCUUUUUCUGCUGGUUCUCCAGAGAGGGACUGCUGGACUUUGUUGUGCACUCUCUUUGGGGGGCCUUUUGUGUAUCUGUAUGGAUGGCCGGUUUGGUAGAUGUGUCUUGGUUCCUUCUCUUUCUCCUCCUGUUUGUUGCUGUGGAGUUCUGCACGUUUAGAGUGGGGCCUGGGGGCAGAGAGCUUGUGGGAGGUUGGGUCGUGGGACCGCUUUGGGAUGGUGGCGGGUUCAUACGUUGGUUUUCUGUAGACCGUGGUAGUGGGUGCAUUGUCGUGUGGCUCUGGCCCUAUAUCCAAGAGGUGCGCCUCUUCCUUGCUUGUGUGUUGGUGAUUUGAAGUUGGGCCGUAUGCUGCA